UCCUUGAAUUUGCAAUGUUCCUAAUAGCCAGCAGGAGGGGUUCCUUCUCUGGCUGCAAAAAGAUCUGCUCACUUGAUCCAUAACCUCAGUAAAAUUCAUGAUAAGUGUCUCAGUCGCUAGUUUUAAAUCUUUUUCAAUAUGACAUGAUGUUAAUUUUAAAAUUUACUGCCCCAGUUUGAGUCUAAACCGAUGGCUGCACGUGUGUGGUACGUGAUGGUAUGAUGGACUGCCAACUGAUGAGGACGUGUUAAGAGAUUCACUGACUGACUAGCCAAGGACAUGAAUUGGAUGAUUUCCAGUGCUCAGGCCUGACGGGUGACCAGCUGUCAACCUCACAUACAAUAUACAAUUAUGUACCGGUCUGUUUUACGCAUGCGCAGCGCACAGCGGGGCAGGCUAAUACUUGCACCCGGACUCACUGCCACACGUUAGCAGCCCUUAGCUGCGAGUGAAGACAGUGUUUUUAAAAGUAAACUGCAAGGAGACCACCAUGAAAAGUGACAAGCUGUGACGGUGACGCUGAUCAGCACAUUAUUGGAGGGAUACGGCGAUGUAACAUAAGCUUGUGCGACUGCGUUGGCAGAGAGUCGCGUGUGGCAUGCUGUGUGUGUGUGUGUGUGUGUGUGGGUGUGUCUGUGUGCUGUCACGGUAAAAUCAAUACCGGGUGAAAAGCAAAUGGAAAAACUCGAGCAAGUUUGUGGAGUUCAGCCUCAAACGUUUACCGAAAUGUGGCGAAUUUCGAGUCAAUUUCAUGGACUGCUGGUGUGGCACUGUGAAUUCAUUUGAGAUUAUAAGGAAAACACAAGAUUAACAGGGAACUUUCACAACACACACACAUAUGCACAAACACACACUAUCUGUAUGAAACACAUCAUACAGUGAAAGAGUGAUCAUUACUUUACUGGUUAGACAAUUAGUUUUGUUAUUUUCAAAUCUUCA